GGCGGACGUAGCCAAGUGGAUUAAGGCAGUGGAUUGUG
rnacentral:tRNA from 10 species